AUUGAACGCUGGCGGCAGGCCUAACACAUGCAAGUCGAACGAGUGGCGGACGGGUGUGUAAUGUCUGGGAACCUGCCUGAUGGAGGGGGAUAACUACUGGAAAGGGUAGCUAAUACCGCAUACCAUCAGAUGUGCCCAGAUGGGAUUAGCUUGUUGGUGGGGUAACGGCUCACCAAGGCGACGAUCCCUAGCUGGUCUGAGAGGAUGACCAGCCACACUGGAACUUGGGAACGGUCCCAGGUCCGAAGGGAGGCAGCAUGGGGUAAUAUUGCAUAAUGGGCGCAAGCCUGAUGCAGGCAUGCCGGGUGUAUGAAGAAGGCCUUCGGGUUGUAAAGUACUUUCAGCGGGGGGUCGUUACCCGCAGAAGAAGCACCGGCUAACUCCGUGCCAGCAGCCGCGGUAAUAC
rnacentral:rRNA from 1 species